rnacentral:rRNA from 1 species
GUCAAAUAAAAAAAUGUUUAAGGAGGAUACCUAAGUACUCAAAGACGACGAAGGGCGUGUUUAACUGCGAAAAGCUUUAAUUAAUGGUAAAAACGUGUUUAAAUUAAAGAUUCCCGAAUAGAGCAAUCUGUAAAACUAUCUAAUAAAUUCAUAAUUAGAUAAGAGAUAACUUAGUGAACUGAAACAUCUUAGUAACUAAAGGAAAAGAAAGCAAAAGCGAUUUUCAAAGUAGUGGUGAACGAAAUGAAAAAAGUCUAAACUAAUAAUUUAUUAGGGUUGUGGGACAAAACUAAAAAAAAAUUUUUUUAAUAAACAGCUGAAACCUGUACCAAAGAUGGUGAAAGUCCAGUAUAAAAAAAUUGAAUCAAAUGUAUCCCAAGUAGCUUGAGACACGUGUAAUCUCUUGUGAAUCCACGAGGACCACCUCGUAAGACUAAAUACUCUUGAGUGACUAAUAGUGAAAAAGUACCGUGAGGGAAAGGUGAAAAAGAACCCCGGGAGGGGAGUGAAAUAGAACAUAAAACCUUAAACAGACAAACAGUGGGAGGAUUAUACUGACCGCGUGCCUGUUGAAGAAUGAGCCGGCGACUCGUAUAAAAUGGCAAGGUUAAAAAAUUUUUUUUGGAGCCAUAGUGAAAACAAGUCUUAAAUUUAGGGCGUAAAAAAGUCAUUUUAUAUGGACCCGAACCCGAGUGAUCUAACCAUGACCAGGAAGAAACUUGGAUAAAACCAAGUGGAAGUCCGAACUGACCAAUGUUGAAAAAUUGACAGAUGAGUUGUGGUUAGGGGUGAAAUGCUAAUCGAACUCGGAGCUAGCUGGUUCUCCUCGAAAUGCGUUGAGGCGCAGCAUUUUGAAUUUUAUUAAGGGGUAAAGCACUGUUUCGGUGCGGGCUAUGAAAGUAGUACCAAAUCGUGGCAAACUUAGAAUACUUAAUUAAAAACACAAAAUAGUGAGACUAUGGGGGAUAAGCUUCAUAGUCAAAAGGGAAACAGCCCAGAUCAUCAGCUAAGGCCCCUAAAUAAUUCCUAAGUGAUAAAGGAAGUAAAAAUGCAAAAACAAUCAAAAGGUUUGCUUAGAAGCAGCUAUCCUUUAAAGAGUGCGUAAUAGCUCAUUGGUAAAGCGUUUUUGCACCGAAAAUGAACGGGACUAAGGAAUUUGCCGAAGCUAUGAGUUCACAUAAAAUAGUGAACGGUAGAGGAGCGUUCUGUCGUAGGGUGAAGUAAUAUUGAAAAAUAUUAUGGACGAAACAGAAGUGAGAAUGUCGGCUUGAGUAACGUAAACAUUGGUGAGAAUCCAAUGCUCCGAAAAUCUAAGGAUUCCUUCACUAGGCUCGUCCGGGAAGGGUUAGUCAGGACCUAAGGUGAGAUCGAAAGGUGUAAUCGAUGGAAAACAGGUUAAUAUUCCUGUACUUAUUUUUUUUUCAUAACGAGGGACAAAGCAAACUAUGAUAGCAAAUAAUUGGAUUUUUGUAUAGAUAAAGAAAAUAGAUAAUGAAGAAAAACAUUAUUUUUUUUUGAAUUAUUAAAAAAUUUAUAAUUUUUUUUGUAAAUUUUAAUCAAAUGUGUUACUUUCAAGAAAAGCUCGAAUUAUUGAAUAAAAAAAAAUAACCUGUACCAAUAACCGACACAGGUGGAUAGGUAGAAUAUACUAAGGAGCGCGAGAUAACUCUCUCUAAGGAACUCGGCAAAAUAACUCCGUAACUUUGGGAGAAGGAGUACCUUUUUUUAAAGGUGACAGUACAUUGACCCAGGCGACUGUUUAACAAAAACAUAGGUCUCCGCAAAGUCUAAAAACAACGUAUGGGGGCUGACGCCUGCCCAGUGCCGGAAGGUUAAAAAAUUUAGUUAUUUUUUUUAAGAAAAGCUAAAAAUUGAAGCCCCGGUGAACGGCGGCCGUAACUCUGACGGUCCUAAGGUAGCGAAAUUCCUUGUCGCGUAAGUUGUGACCCGCACGAAUGGCGUAACGAUCUGGGUACUGUCUCAGAGAGAGACUCGGUGAAAUAGAAAUGUCUGUGAAGAUGCGGACUUCUUACAUCUGGACAGAAAGACCCUAUGAAGCUUGACUGUAUCUUAAAAUUGAAUUUGAGUUUUUUUUGCGCAGUCUAAGUGGGAGACAAUGAAAAUAAUUUUUUGGAAAUAUUUGAGUCGUAAAAUGAGAGACCACUCUUGAAAAACUAAAAUUCUAAUAAUACAUUCUUCUAUCAGAAUAUUAAACAGUUUUAGGUGGGCAGUUUUUUUGGGGCGAAAACCUCCCAAAAAGUAACGGAGGUGUACAAAGGUUUCUUCAAACUGGACGGAAAUCAGUUAUAGAGUAUAAAGAUAAAAAGAAGCUUAACUGUGAGACAGACACGUCAAACAGAGGCGAAAGCCGGUCUUAGUGAUCCGACGGUUCUAAGUGGAAAGGCCGUCGCUCAACGGAUAAAAGUUACUCUAGGGAUAACAGGCUGAUCUUCCCCAAGAGUUCACAUCGACGGGAAGGUUUGGCACCUCGAUGUCGGCUCAUCGCAACCUGGGGCAGUAGUAUGUCCCAAGGGUUGGGCUGUUCGCCCAUUAAAGCGGUACGUGAGCUGGGUUCAGAACGUCGUGAGACAGUUUGGUCCAUAUCCGAUGUAAGCGUAGGAAUAUUGAGAAGAGCUUUCCAUAAUACGAGAGGACUUGGAAAGCUAAACCUCUGGUGUACCAGUUCUUAUGCCAAUAGGAAACGCUGGGUAGCUAUGUUUAGAGGAGAUAACUGCUGAAAGCAUCUAAGUAGGAAGCCCACUUCAAGAUGAUUAUUCUUUAUGAGAUCACGGAAAGAUGAUCCGUUAAAUAGGAAUUCAGUGUAAAACUAGUAAUAGUCAUAGCUAAAAUUUACUAACGAUCCAAUUUUUUGAC